rnacentral:lncRNA from 10 species
UGGGAAAAUUGCAUUUUGGUGAAAAUAUUUCAUGUAUAGCAGCAGUCCCCAACCUUUUUGGCACUCACUAGAGACCAGUUUCGUGGAAGACAACUUUUCCACAGGCUGGGGAGGGGGAUGGUUUUGGAUAAUCAUAAAACUCACCAUAAGGUAGAAUCAGUGGGAGCCCUGAGCUUGUUCACAUAGUCGAGUACCUCCUAGUCCAGCACAGACUCUACUCACGAAGAUGAUGAAUGGAGCCCGCUACCUUGGCCUUCAGGCUCUGGCAUGCUCAAGAAUUCACAGAACUUUAAUUUUGUCUGGCUCAGCCUUCUGUGGCUCACAGGAGUAGCUCGAGGUUUAAGGAUGUUUAUUCAAUUGUGAUAAACAACAGCAGAUUUUUGUUUGUGCUUUCUGACUCUAUGAAAGACGAGAUAACCUUGCCGGCAGUUUUAGUCACCUGGGGAGCUUUACAAAACACUGAUAUCUGUGUCCACCCCUAGAGAUUCGGAUGCCAUCACUCGGGAUGCGGGCCAAGAAGGCAGGGUAUAAAAGGCUGUCACCCUGACUCUCCACUGAGCUGGUUUAACACUUAGCCAUUUGUGAACAGCAACUGCUAAGGGCAUUAAUUGUAACACACUCUAGAUGCUACCAUGGGGCCGGAGCCCAAAAGUGCUCACCCUGGCUCCUGCACCUGCCUGUCUGCAUGCUCCCUCUCCAGAAAAGGGUUUGAGCACACCGCGGGCCAAGCAAAUGAGCCACACCCCUGU